rnacentral:rRNA from 1 species
AGCGAACGCUGGCGGCAGGCUUAACACAUGCAAGUCGAGCGCCGUAGCAAUACGGAGCGGCAGACGGGAGAGUAACACGUGGGAACGUGCCCUUCAGUUCGGAACAACCCAGGGAAACUUGGGCUAAUACCGAAUACGUCCGAAAGGAGAAAGAUUUAUCGCUGAAGGAUCGGCCCGCGUCUGAUUAGCUAGUUGGUGAGGUAAUGGCUCACCAAGGCGACGAUCAGUAGCUGGUCUGAGAGGAUGACCAGCCUCAUUGGGACUGAGACACGGCCCA